rnacentral:rRNA from 1 species
AAAUUGAAGAGUUUGAUCAUGGCUCAGAUUGAACGCUGGCGGCAGGCCUAACACAUGCAAGUCGAACGGUAACAGAAAGCAGCUUGCUGCUUUGCUGACGAGUGGCGGACGGGUGAGUAAUGUCUGGGAAACUGCCUGAUGGAGGGGGAUAACUACUGGAAACGGUAGCUAAUACCGCAUAACGUCGCAAGACCAAAGAGGGGGACCUUCGGGCCUCUUGCCAUCGGAUGUGCCCAGAUGGGAUUAGCUUGUUGGUGGGGUAACGGCUCACCAAGGCGACGAUCCCUAGCUGGUCUGAGAGGAUGACCAGCCACACUGGAACUGAGACACGGUCCAGACUCCUACGGGAGGCAGCAGUGGGGAAUAUUGCACAAUGGGCGCA